rnacentral:rRNA from 1 species
ACGAGUGGCGGACGGGUGAGUAACACGUGGGUAACCUGCCCUUAAGUGGGGGAUAACAUUUGGAAACAGAUGCUAAUACCGCAUAGAUCCAAGAACCGCAUGGUUCUUGGCUGAAAGAUGGCGUAAGCUAUCGCUUUUGGAUGGACCCGCGGCGUAUUAGCUAGUUGGUGAGGUAAUGGCUCACCAAGGCGAUGAUACGUAGCCGAACUGAGAGGUUGAUCGGCCACAUUGGGACUGAGACACGGCCCAAACUCCUACGGGAGGCAGCAGUAGGGAAUCUUCCACAAUGGACGCAAGUCUGAUGGAGCAACGCCGCGUGAGUGAAGAAGGCUUUCGGGUCGUAAAACUCUGUUGUUGGAGAAGAAUGGUCGGCAGAGUAACUGUUGUCGGCGUGACGGUAUCCAACCAGAAAGCCACGGCUAACUACGUGCCAGCAGCCGCGGUAAUACGUAGGUGGCAAGCGUUAUCCGGAUUUAUUGGGCGUAAAGCGAGCGCAGGCGGUUUUUUAAGUCUGAUGUGAAAGCCCUCGGCUUAACCGAGGAAGCGCAUCGGAAACUGGGAAACUUGAGUGCAGAAGAGGACAGUGGAACUCCAUGUGUAGCGGUGAAAUGCGUAGAUAUAUGGAAGAACACCAGUGGCGAAGGCGGCUGUCUGGUCUGUAACUGACGCUGAGGCUCGAAAGCAUGGGUAGCGAACAGGAUUAGAUACCUGGUAGUCCAUGCCGUAAACGAUGAAUGCUAGGUGUUGGAGGGUUUCCGCCCUUCAGUGCCGCAGCUAACGCAUUAAGCAUUCCGCCUGGGGAGUACGACCGCAAGGUUGAAACUCAAAGGAAUUGACGGGGGCCCGCACAAGCGGUGGAGCAUGUGGUUUAAUUCGAAGCAACGCGAAGAACCUUACCAGGUCUUGACAUCUUUUGAUCACCUGAGAGAUCAGGUUUCCCCUUCGGGGGCAAAAUGACAGGUGGUGCAUGGUUGUCGUCAGCUCGUGUCGUGAGAUGUUGGGUUAAGUCCCGCAACGAGCGCAACCCUUAUGACUAGUUGCCAGCAUUUAGUUGGGCACUCUAGUAAGACUGCCGGUGACAAACCGGAGGAAGGUGGGGAUGACGUCAAAUCAUCAUGCCCCUUAUGACCUGGGCUACACACGUGCUACAAUGGAUGGUACAACGAGUUGCGAGACCGCGAGGUCAAGCUAAUCUCUUAAAGCCAUUCUCAGUUCGGACUGUAGGCUGCAACUCGCCUACACGAAGUCGGAAUCGCUAGUAAUCGCGGAUCAGCACGCCGCGGUGAAUACGUUCCCGGGCCUUGUACACACCGCCCGUCACACCAUGAGAGUUUGUAACACCCGAAGCCGGUGGCGUAACCCUUUUAGGGAGCGAGCCGUCUAAGGUGGGACAAAUGAUUAGGGUGAAGUCGUAACAAGGUAGCCGUAGGAGAACCUGCGGCUGGAUCACCUCCUUUCU